GGUGGUUGAAAGAGAGACACGAACCCAGAAGGAAUUAAAUUUAUCUUUUCUCGGUCAAAACUCAAAACUGAAGCUUCAACUCGGUAUUUCCUUUUCCUGAACUACAUUUUCGCUCUGCUUGAAUGCUCACCAUCACCUGCGAGGCUAAUUCAAUUAUGGAUGAGUUUGAUCACCUCAAAAUUCAGCUAAAAGAUAUUAUAUAUUAUAUAUGGAUCCCACUAAGUGUAAUUAUAUAUUAUAUAUGGAUCCCGUGUAACCAACUCCUGAAUCAACCUCUACCGUUGGAUUUGGUUGAGAUUAAAUCUCAGCCACAUAAACUCCCAAAAUUAACUGCUCUGAUGGCGGUUCUUGACAGUUACUUGCAGUUUUAGCAGGUUACCAAAUAACUCCCCACUAUCCCCUCUCCUCCCAUAUAAUUCUCGUAUAGUGGAAGAGGUUUUAGGGUUCUUUAUCCAUAUCGAACCGUCACUCACACACAUUUCACUAUCUUUUCUGAAACCCACCAGACCACUAUGUUCGCAGCCCUCCGGUGAACCACUGUGAAUCGCCAUUCCAUGUAAGUGCAAAAUCAAACUUCAGUUUGAACAAAGAAGGGAUUUGGGUGAUGGUUAUGUAAUUUCUAAGGGGGGCAAAAUCAAACACUGAUUUCAACAGAAGGAAAAAAUUAUCGCAUGUAACUCUUAUGUUGAGUUGAGAGAUGGGGACGACGGCAAUAUGGCAGGUCCUAAACUAAUAGAACCGACAAUUUGCUGUAAUGGGUAUCGUUUUCUAUAUCCAAGUUGAAUUGGUUGAUUUUUCGAUGGAUUUGUUUGCGGCAGUGAUGAUUUAUGCUGGUUGAUGUCUCCUUGGUGGAUUUGGUUGUAGUGGUUUUUGUUUUUUUGCAGUUUUCCCAACAACACCGUUGCUGAUUUGGUCAUCAUCCCUCCAAGUUGUUUAAUUGAUCAGAUCUUCAUCCGGCCAACAAAACUAUUCUUACUUCUUUAUCACAUGCUCACAUCCGUCUACAACUUCAUCGACAAGUUUUCUACAACUGUACUUAUCUUUUGUAUUCAAGCACUAAUCAAUGAAUUUGUAACACACACACACACACACACACACACACAUAUAUAUAUAUAUAGAGGGGUUAAUUGUGCAGGAACUUUUCAAUCAUCUAUUGAAGCUGGUACUUUGUUGGAGAGAGUAGACGCGUUUGAUGUGAAUGGGAACUCGGGUUUGAUUUCUAAUUUGUGGACGGAUCAGAAGGCCGGUGUUUCAUUUGCACAUCUUUAUGGGUAUGCAUCAAUAUUCCUCAAGCUCAAAAAAGUAAGAGCUAGAAAAGGGUUAUCUUUUUCCUUGAAUCUGUUUAUUUAUUCGUCAAAACUUAAUACUAAUAUCUGUUUAUUUGAAGGUUCUUUGUUUUUUGGCAUGAUGAAUAAGGUGUGGAGGUUGUAAUUUUCUUUUAAGUUUGAUUUGCCUCUAUAUGUACAUCUAAUCAAUGUUUUCUAUUUUAGUGUGCGACACCUAUUGGUAUACGUCUUCUACGGUGAACAUGAAUUUCCAAGUUCUAUUCCAGUAAUCAUAGAACUUUACCUAUAAGUUUAUAAUGUUGGUAUCGGAAAAUUGUUUUUUCCGGUAACAAGACAUGGUUUUCUUAAUUUGGCCCUUGGAGAUGAAACACAACCAAAGUCGACCCGUUUUUAGAUUAUCUUGUGUGUAUGCUGAUUUUAAUGUUGGUGCCCCUUUUGAAUGCAGUUACAAAUGGGAAGCGACUUGAAGAGAUCAGUUGAUGUGUAUGUAUUUCGAAAUGGGGAGUGAUUUGAAGACCUGGGUAUUAGAUAAGUUGAUGCCCGUCUUGGGAUAUUCGCAACCCGCCUUGGUUCAACAUGUGUUUACUUUAUCUAAGAAAGCUUCAUCUCCUGAUGAUGUAUAUAAUAAUCUUAAAGACAUGGGGGGUGUCAUCUUCUAACAACACACGCAUUUGGUGAAGAAAUAUUCUAGAAGGUUGAAUAUAAGAGAUCUGAACCAAAUUUGUUACAGUGACUGACUGCCUGACAAAGAACCGGAGGAGUUAUAGCAUCAUCUAAAGAAAAAAAAAGAUGCCGCCGGGGUGAUAAAAGUCUACUUUUAGUGAUCAUCAUUUAAUCAAUCUAAUUUUAAUAUGAAUUGAUUUUUGGGUUUUCAAGAAUUUAUGAAUUGAUUCCAAUUAUGAUUCCCUAAUCCUAUUUAAUAUGAAUUUAAUGUUUGGUUAUUUCAAGUCAAGUUUUGGGGUUUGAAACUUCAAUUUCAAUGGAAUACCGACUCAAAUAAGGUUGGUUUAAUCUGUAUCCAGGUUAUGAAAUGGGCUACUAAUAAUGGGCUGCUAAAAAUACUCUGGCAGCUAGAACACUAAGCCCAUUCCCGGCUGCUAAAAAUAAGGCCACUAAUUGGGCUUUUAAAAAAAAAAUACAUGGAUUCAAAAAUGCAAAGUAAACAGUAUAUUUCACAUAUUUAUUUUUUAAAAAAAAAAAAAUUCUAUUCAUCUUUUAAGUUUAUAAAUGAUUAAUGUCUUAAAUUGCAUUACAAAAAUUAUACUAUAAGAUAAUAGUAUAGCAUCGAUGUUGGAAGAUAGGAAUAUAAGAUGCAUAACAAAAGAUGGUCGACUUUUAUAGGUUACCAUUUUUUAGUAAACAGAACGGUCAAAUUACCAUCUUUUAAUAAACAGGUCAAUAUCACUUUUUUAUGUAAGCGGGCCAAGGUAACUAUGGUGGGUCAAGGUUACCAUGUUAAUAAGGGGUGAAGGUUACCAUUUUAGUAAAUGGGUCAGAAGGAGAUACUUUAACAAACGGGUCAAACUAACCCUUUUAGUAAACGGUUCAAACUCAUCAUUUUUAGCAAGCAAGUCAAAAUACCAUUUUUGGUGAAUGGGUAAAAUUGUCGUUCUUAGUAAACAUACCAUAAGUUAAUAAAAUUAAAAGUUGUCUUAAUUAGACACUUAGUGUAUUUUCCCUUAUCAUUUUUGGCCCAUCAAAAGCCCUGUGUGAUUUGUAUUAAUAUUUGUUAACACAAAGAGUUAGAAAUCAAGUUUAGAAUCAUACCAAUUUGGGAGUUCGAGAUUGCCGGAUAGGUUGGAUUUUGUAGUAUACCUUCAUUUUAUUCUCUGACCCUCAAAACAUCCAACCCGUCUUUAUAUCUUUUUUUGGGUCUUUAUAUCUUUGUUUGUUACCCUGUUAACGUACCCGUCCACCGGACGGGUAUUAAACUAGUUCUAUUGGCCACCGACAAUUUUGCACCCAACAAACGUAUUGGGCGCGGCGGCUUCGGAUCAGUGUAUAAAGGAGAACUCUCUCGGCAGCCCGGGGGACUUGUAACUGUAGCUUGUAAGCGUUUGGAUCCAAAAUUUGGACAAGGUCACGUUGAGUUUUUGAAAGAGAUCGUGAUGCUAUCCAAAUGCAAACAUGAAAAUUUGGUUUCUCUGUUACACUUUUGCAUUGAAGGUGGUGAGAGGAUUCUGGUGUACGAGUAUGUAUCGCAUGGGAGCCUCGAUUGUUAUCUAAGUGACCCUAGUGUUGUUACAUGGACUAAGCGUCUCAGGAUAUGUGUGGGAGCUGCCCGCGCACUAAACUAUCUUCAUGAUCCGGUGGACACCCACCAAAGAAUAAUCCAUCGGGACAUCAAAAGUUCGAAUAUUCUUUUGGACGAGGAAUGGAAUGCCAAGGUUUCGGAUUUUGGUCUAUCAAAAUUUGGCCCGGCUAACCAACCCCAAACAUAUCUGGUUUCAAAUGCGGUUGGUACGCCUGGAUAUUGUGAUCCGUUGUAUUGGGAAACGGGUAUUCUAUCAAAAGAGUCUGAUGUGUACUCUUUUGGGGUAGUGUUGUUUGAAGCAAUGUGUGGGAAAUUAUGUUUUGAAUAUCAUGGUGGUAGGUUACAUGGCAUUUUGGUGCCUAUGUGGAAAAAAUGUUUUGAGGAAAAAAGACUAGAUGACAUAGUUUUUAAUGGUCUAAAGGAACAUAUGGAACCUGAUUCUUUGAAUACGUUUUCAACCAUUGCUUAUCAAUGUUUAAAGCGAGCUCGUGAAGAACGACCCACAAUGGCAGAGAUGGUGCAAAAACUUGAGUUGCACUUGAACAACAAGAGGUUGUUGAAGAUAUCGGAAAGAGAAUGAGCUUUGAAGAGAUGCGAAGGAUUGCGGAUUUGGCUGUAUCUCCUCUGUCCUACAUAACCCAAAGUCAACUUCUCUUGCUUUUCAUCAAAGGGAUGCUUGUUGACGAUGGCAAAACGUGGUUUUCCGUAAAUAAGAAAGGACAACACCGUGAACUCGUAUCUGCUUCAACAUGUUUUUCUACAUCUAGCACGUUUUCCCCACCUAAAACAUUAGGUUCAAGAUUUCAACACAUGUUAAGAUAUGUAUCAACCCAAGAUUUGAAACCAACAGUUAUGACUCGAUUCUUGUCACCAAAUGUUACAUACGUCAUAAACCUUGUCUACGACUGCGAGUAUCCUCAUCAUAACAGCCUGCGUAUACCCUUCAAAUACAAACUGAAAGAAAUGAGAGAAUAUUCGACGACAUGUGUUGCACACGUUGGGGAAGGAGGAUGGCGAAGGACCGAACUGUUCCAGUUUACUAGCACCAAAAGGGAACAUUAUUUUGACAUUCAGUUAUCGAGCGAGAUAAAGAGUUCUGCAUCCAAUUCCUUUACUAUUUCCAUCGAAGGCGUUGAAUUUUGUCCUGUAGACUUUGAGGAGAAGGAUGAAAAUAAGGUGGAUCAUUGCAACCAACAGACUUUGAUUGGGGGGAAAGAUUGCCACAUGAUUACACCUACAUAGUCAAAUGGUCAAAAGAUAUCGAGGAGUCGAUGACUAAGAAUGAAGUCUACUUUCUGCUUCGCAAAGGACUAUACAUCAAUACUUCACAACAGAUUAAGUGCAGGUACCUAAACGUAAUUGGCUGGUAUUAGCUCCCUAGCGUCGGG